rnacentral:rRNA from 1 species
AUUGAACGCUGGCGGCAGGCCUAACACAUGCAAGUCGAACGAGUGGCGGACGGGUGAGUAAUGUCUGGGAAACUGCCUGAUGGAGGGGGAUAACUACUGGAAACGGUAGCUAAUACCGCAUACCAUUGGAGUUGCCCAGCUGGGAUUAGCUAUUUGGUGGGGUAACGGCUCACCAAGUGGACGAUCCCUAGCUGGUCUUAGAGGAUGACCAGCCACACUGGAACUGAGACACGGUCCAGACUCCUACGGGAGGCAGCAGUGGGGAAUAUUGCACAAUGGGCGCAAGCCUGAUGCAGCCAUGCCGCGUGUAUGAAGAAGGCCUUCGGGUGGUAAAGUACUUUCAGCGGGGAGGCGUUACCCGCAGAAGAAGCACCGGCUAACUCCGUGCCAGCAGCCGCGGUAAUUC